UUCCGGUUGAUCCCGCCGGAGGUUACUGCUAUCGAGGUUCGACUAAGCCAUGCGAGUCGAAUGUAGCAAUACAUGGCGAACUGCUCAGUAACACGUGGACAACCUGCCCUUAGGACGGGGAUAAACCCGGGAAACUGGGUAUAAUACCCGAUAGGUCUCGAUUGCUGGAAUGCAUCGAGAUUUAAAGCUCCGGCGCCUAAGGAUGGGUCUGCGGCCUAUCAGGUAGUAGUGGGUGUAGCGUACCUACUAGCCUACGACGGGUACGGGUUGUGAGAGCAAGAGCCCGGAGAUGGAUUCUGAGACACGAAUCCAGGCCCUACGGGGUGCAGCAGGCGCGAAAACUUUACAAUGCUGGCAACAGCGAUAAGGGAACCUCGAGUGCCAGGUUACAAAUCUGGCUGUCGAGAUGCCUAAAAAGCAUUUCAUAGCAAGGGCCGGGCAAGACCGGUGCCAGCCGCCGCGGUAACACCGGCGGCUCGAGUGGUAACCGUUAUUAUUGGGUCUAAAGGGUCUGUAGCCGGCCGGAUAAGUCUCUUGAGAAAUCUGGCAGCUUAACUGUCAGGCUUUCAGGAGAUACUGUCUGGCUCGAGGCCGGGAGAGGUGAGAGGUACUUCAGGGGUAGGGGUGAAAUCUUGUAAUCCUUGAAGGACCACCAGUGGCGAAGGCGUCUCACCAGAACGGACCUGACGGCAAGGGACGAAAGCUAGGGGCACGAACCGGAUUAGAUACCCGGGUAGUCCUAGCCGUAAACGAUACUCGCUAGGUGUCGGCCACGGUGCGACCGUUGUCGGUGCCGUAGGGAAGCCGUGAAGCGAGCCACCUGGGAAGUACGGCCGCAAGGCUGAAACUUAAAGGAAUUGGCGGGGGAGCACCACAACGGGUGGAGCUUGCGGUUUAAUUGGAGUCAACGCCGGG
rnacentral:rRNA from 1 species